UACGUAGGGGGCAAGCGUUGUCCGGAUUUAUUGGGCGUAAAGCGUGCGUAGGCGGUUCUCCAAGUCCGUUGUGAAAGCCCCGGGCUCAACCUGGGAAUGGCAGUGGAAACUAGGGGACUGGAAUCUGGCAGAGGGGGGUGGAAUGCCGCGUGUAGCAGUGAAAUGCGUAGAGAUGCGGCGGAACACCGAUGGCGAAGGCAGCCCCCUGGGCUGAGAUUGACGCUCAGGCACGAAAGCGUGGGGAGCAAACAGG
rnacentral:rRNA from 1 species